rnacentral:rRNA from 1 species
AGACCCGAAACCCGGUGAUCUAGCCAUGGGCAGGUUGAAGGUUGGGUAACACUAACUGGAGGACCGAACCGACUAAUGUUGAAAAAUUAGCGGAUGACCUGUGGCUGGGGGUGAAAGGCCAAUCAAACCGGGAGAUAGCUGGUUCUCCCCGAAAGCUAUUUAGGUAGCGCCUCGUGAAUUCAUCUCCGGGGGUAGAGCACUGUUUCGGCUAGGGGGCCAUCCCGGCUUACCAACCCGAUGCAAACUGCGAAUACCGGAGAAUGUUAUCACGGGAGACACACGGCGGGUGCUAACGUCCGUCGUGAAGAGGGAAACAACCCAGACCGCCAGCUAAGGUCCCAAAGUCAUGGUUAAGUGGGAAACGAUGUGGGAAGGCCCAGACAGCCAGGAUGUUGGCUUAGAAGCAGCCAUCAUUUAAAGAAAGCGUAAUAGCUCACUGGUCGAGUCGGCCUGCGCGGAAGAUGUAACGGGGCUAAACCAUGCACCGAAGCUGCGGCAGCGACACUGUGUGUUGUUGGGUAGGGGAGCGUUCUGUAAGCCUGUGAAGGUGUGUCGUGAGGCAUGCUGGAGGUAUCAGAAGUGCGAAUGCUGACAUAAGUAACGAUAAAGCGGGUGAAAAGCCCGCUCGCCGGAAGACCAAGGGUUCCUGUCCAACGUUAAUCGGGGCAGGGUGAGUCGACCCCUAAGGCGAGGCCGAAAGGCGUAGUCGAUGGGAAACGGGUUAAUAUUCCCGUACUUGGUGUUACUGCGAAGGGGGGACGGAGAAGGCUAUGUUGGCCGGGCGACGGUUGUCCCGGUUUAAGCGUGUAGGUGUGUGUUCCAGGUAAAUCCGGUUCACUUUAACACUGAGGCGUGACGACGAGGCACUACGGUGCUGAAGCAACAAAUGCCCUGCUUCCAGGAAAAGCCUCUAAGCAUCAGGUAACAUCAAAUCGUACCCCAAACCGACACAGGUGGUCAGGUAGAGAAUACCAAGGCGCUUGAGAGAACUCGGGUGAAGGAACUAGGCAAAAUGGUGCCGUAACUUCGGGAGAAGGCACGCUGACACGUAGGUGAAGUGAUUUACUCAUGGAGCUGAAGUCAGUCGAAGAUACCAGCUGGCUGCAACUGUUUAUUAAAAACACAGCACUGUGCAAACACGAAAGUGGACGUAUACGGUGUGACGCCUGCCCGGUGCCGGAAGGUUAAUUGAUGGGGUCAGCGCAAGCGAAGCUCCUGAUCGAAGCCCCGGUAAACGGCGGCCGUAACUAUAACGGUCCUAAGGUAGCGAAAUUCCUUGUCGGGUAAGUUCCGACCUGCACGAAUGGCGUAAUGAUGGCCAGGCUGUCUCCACCCGAGACUCAGUGAAAUUGAACUCGCUGUGAAGAUGCAGUGUACCCGCGGCAAGACGGAAAGACCCCGUGAACCUUUACUAUAGCUUGACACUGAACAUUGAGCCUUGAUGUGUAGGAUAGGUGGGAGGCUUUGAAGUGUGGACGCCAGUCUGCAUGGAGCCGACCUUGAAAUACCACCCUUUAAUGUUUGAUGUUCUAACGUGGACCCGUUACCCGGGUUGCGGACAGUGUCUGGUGGGUAGUUUGACUGGGGCGGUCUCCUCCUAAAGAGUAACGGAGGAGCACGAAGGUUGGCUAAUCCUGGUCGGACAUCAGGAGGUUAGUGCAAUGGCAUAAGCCAGCUUGACUGCGAGCGUGACGGCGCGAGCAGGUGCGAAAGCAGGUCAUAGUGAUCCGGUGGUUCUGAAUGGAAGGGCCAUCGCUCAACGGAUAAAAGGUACUCCGGGGAUAACAGGCUGAUACCGCCCAAGAGUUCAUAUCGACGGCGGUGUUUGGCACCUCGAUGUCGGCUCAUCACAUCCUGGGGCUGAAGUAGGUCCCAAGGGUAUGGCUGUUCGCCAUUUAAAGUGGUACGCGAGCUGGGUUUAGAACGUCGUGAGACAGUUCGGUCCCUAUCUGCCGUGGGCGCUGGAGAACUGAGGGGGGCUGCUCCUAGUACGAGAGGACCGGAGUGGACGCAUCACUGGUGUUCGGGUUGUCAUGCCAAUGGCACUGCCCGGUAGCUAAAUGCGGAAGAGAUAAGUGCUGAAAGCAUCUAAGCACGAAACUUGCCCCGAGAUGAGUUCUCCCUGAGACUUAGAGUCUCCUGAAGGAACGUUGAAGACGACGACGUUGAUAGGCCGGGUGUGUAAGCGCAGCGAUGCGUUGAGC